UGGAAAGCCUCAAUCGUUGUAGGUAAAAAUAUGGACGUUGCUGUAUCCAGCACCUUCACGAAGUUCUUUGAUAUUCAUGGAACCAGUACCACCACCUAAUAGAGUUGUUGGUGCAGUGGAUUCAUUUCCAACCGAACCUGAUUCAUAGCAAAUUCAAGAAUAAAAAACGGAAAGAGAAAAUGCGAGAAAGAAAUUGAAGUACCUGUGGAAUUAGGUUUUGGUUUUGAAUCGGAGAGGGAAACGUGUUUUUCUUCAAUGCUUAAGCAAAUCCCCAUGAAUAUCGAUCUGAACAGAAACCGCGUUUACACACAUUCAAGAAUUCAUUGUUGGAAUGAAUGAGAG
rnacentral:lncRNA from 1 species